rnacentral:rRNA from 1 species
UACGGAGGGUGCAAGCGUUAUCCGGAUUCACUGGGUUUAAAGGGUGCGUAGGCGGGUUGGUAAGUCCGUGGUGAAAUCUCCGAGCUUAACUCGGAAACUGCCGUGGAUACUAUCAAUCUUGAAUAUCGUGGAGGUAAGCGGAAUAUGUCAUGUAGCGGUGAAAUGCUUAGAUAUGACAUAGAACACCAAUUGCGUAGGCAGCUUACUACACGAUCAUUGACGCUGAGGCACGAAAGUGUGGGGAUCAAACAGG